AUAUCAAUAAGCGGAGGAAAAGAAACCAACAGGGAUUGCCCUAGUAACGGCGAGUGAAGCGGCAACAGCUCAAAUUUGAAAUCUGGCUUCGGCCCGAGUUGUAAUUUGCAGAGGAAGCUUUAGGCGCGGCACUUUCUGAGUCCCCUGGAACGGGGCGCCAUAGAGGGUGAGAGCCCCGUAUAGUUAGAUGCCUAGCCUGUGUAAAGCUCCUUCGACGAGUCGAGUAGUUUGGGAAUGCUGCUCAAAAUGGGAGGUAAAUUUCUUCUAAAGCUAAAUACCGGCCAGAGACCGAUAGCGCACAAGUAGAGUGAUCGAAAGAUGAAAAGCACUUUGAAAAGAGGGUUAAAUAGCACGUGAAAUUGUUGAAAGGGAAGCGCUUGUGACCAGACUUGCGCCGGGCAGAUCAUCCGGUGUUCUCACCGGUGCACUCUGCCCGGCUCAGGCCAGCAUCGGUUCUCGCGGGGGGAUAAAGGCCCUGGGAACGUAGCUCCUCCGGGAGUGUUAUAGCCCGGGGCGUAAUGCCCUCGCGGGGACCGAGGUUCGCGCAUCUGCAAGGAUGCUG
rnacentral:rRNA from 1 species